rnacentral:rRNA from 1 species
AGAGUUUGAUCCUGGCUCAGGAUGAACGCUAGCUACAGGCUUAACACAUGCAAGUCGAGGGGAAACGACAUCGAAAGCUUGCUUUUGAUGGGCGUCGACCGGCGCACGGGUGAGUAACGCGUAUCCAACCUGCCCACCACUUGGGGAUAACCUUGCGAAAGUAAGACUAAUACCCAAUGACGUCUCUAGAAGACAUCUGAAAGAGAUUAAAGAUUUAUCGGUGAUGGAUGGGGAUGCGUCCGAUUAGCUUGUUGGCGGGGUAACGGCCCACCGAAGGCUACGAUCAGUAGGGGUUCUGAGAGGAGGUCCCCACGAUUGGAACUGAGACACGGUCCAAACUCCGUACGGGAGGCA